rnacentral:rRNA from 1 species
GACGAACGCUGGCGGCGUGCUUAACACAUGCAAGUCGAACGUGAUUUUUGUGGAAAUUCUUUCGGGAAUGGAAAUGAAAUGAAAGUGGCGAACGGGUGAGUAACACGUGAGCAACCUACCUUACACAGGGGGAUAGCCGUUGGAAACGACGAUUAAUACCGCAUGAGACCACAGAAUCGCAUGAUAUAGGGGUCAAAGAUUUAUCGGUGUAAGAAGGGCUCGCGUCUGAUUAGCUAGUUGGAAGGGUAAAGGCCUACCAAGGCGACGAUCAGUAGCCGGUCUGAGAGGAUGAACGGCCACAUUGGAACUGAGACACGGUCCAAACUCCUACGGGAGGCAGCAGUGGGGAAUAUUGCACAAUGGGGGGAACCCUGAUGCAGCGACGCCGCGUGAGCGAAGAAGGUUUUCGAAUCGUAAAGCUCUGUCCUAUGAGAAGAUAAUGACGGUAUCAUAGGAGGAAGCCCGG